rnacentral:lncRNA from 1 species
CUUCGAAAAUGGGAGAUGCCACGUUAGCUGUUGAGAAAGACUCAUCUGGAGUCAUCACUGGUUCUGAAAAAUUAGAUCCUUCAAAUCCUCUCUUCCUCAACUCAGCAGAUUCACCUGGCAUGAAUCUCAUUAAUAUGAGUUUUGAUGGAACCAACUAUGGAAACUGGAGAAGAGGAGUUCUCAUCUCACUUUCAGCUAAAAACAAACUUGUUUUUAUCAACGGAAAGUAUCCUAAACCUACUGCUAACGCACCUUUAUUCACUCAAUGGGUAAGAUGCAAUGAUAUGGUCAUAGCUUGGCUACUAAACUCCUUGAGUAAGGAUAUUGCAGAGAGCGUGAUUUACUCACAAACUGCAGAAGAGCUAUGGAAGGAACUAGAGCAGAGGUAUGGUCAAUCUGAUGGAACCAAGAUGUUCCAGUUGCAAAGGGAUCUCAGUAGCAUUUCCCAGGGAACUUCUGAUAUUGCUAGCUAUUUCACAAGGUUGAAAAGAAUUUGGGACCAAAUGAAAGAGCUGAACACUUUUAUGAACUGUAGUUGUGAUUGCAGUUGUGGUGCUAAGGAGCACAACUUCAAAAUGAAUGAAGAUCAGCAGCUCAUUCAGUUUCUAAUGGGUUUGAACGAGGUCUAUUCAAGUAUCCGAGGCAACAUAUUAAUGAUGAAACCUUUGCCAACCACUGCAUAGGCUUAUUCACUCAUCCUUCAUGAGGAGAGGCAAAGAGAGGUACACUCUGUGCUUAAGGUAACUCCUGACUCUGCUGCUUUUAAUAUUGCAGCAACAAGAACCUUUGCACAAAAGACAGGUAAUGAGUCUAGAAGAGACUAUGUGAACAAUGGCAAUUUCUGUAGCUACUGUAAGAAACCGGGGCAUGAGAAGGAUAAAUGUUUUAGAUUACAUGGAUUUCCUGCAAAUUUUAAGUUCACUAAGCCUAGGAGAAUCUCUAGAUAUAGACCAGCGAAUUGUGUAGCAACAGAGGACGGAAAUGCUUCAGGAUCUUCCUUUGGUUCAGGUUCUUCUUCUCAGGGAUUCACCAAGGAACAAUGUGGCCAACUAUUUCAAAUGUUACAAACAAUGUAGGCUGGAAACUCAAUUGCUCCAGGUUUUGAAGUCAAUGCAACUGCUAAUUUUGCUGGUAUAAAUGCUGCUAUGCAUGUCUUUACCUCAUGUUUUAACUCAUCUACCUCUAACCCUUGGAUUAUUGACUCUGGUGCCUCCCAAUAUAUGACUUUUGAAAAAAAACCUUCUACAUAAUGUCAAGAAAUUAUCCUAUCCUGUUUUUGUUAAUCUGCCAAACUCUUAUAGAAUGAGAGUUUUCUAUUUUGGUAGUCUUAAUCUAUCUUCUGAUAUUGAAUUACACAAUGUCCUUUAUGUUCCUUCUUUUAAACAUAACCUAAUGUCAGUAAGUCAGCUUUGUAGACAAUUGGAUUGUGAUGUCAUUUUUAACAAAUCUGGUUGUCUGCUAUAGGGCCUUUCAAUGAAGAGUCACCUGAUUUUUGGUGAAGUAUCUGCAGGCCUUUAUGUGCAUCUAUUGGAGGAUAACAUAACUCAACCAAAGAUUUUCAAGUCUAAUGUUCCUGUUUCUACUAUAUUUUCGUCUUCCGCUCCUAGAAAUCAUAUGAGUCCUAUCAAUGUUAUCAAGUUAAAUUCUGUUAAGUCUUUUUGUCCAAGUUUUGAGUCUGUAGCUGGCAAUACUUCUUGCCCUGAAGUUUCUACUAUCAAUAAAAAAUGUUUUGUUUCUAAGAAUUUUACUUCAAGUAAGCUAUGGCACUAUCGAUUAGGGCAUUUACCUUAUCCAGCAAUGAGAAAUAUCACUGGUUUAUCAUAAUUUUUAACAGACCACAAUCAUUUUCCUUGUGACAUUUGUCCGAUGGCAAGACAAACAAAGUUACCUUUUCCUGUUAGCCACAUUUCCUCAAAGCACUGUUUUGAACUACUACAUAUUGACAUAUGGGGACCAUAUACGACACCUACGUAUAAAGGGGAAAAAUAUUUUCUUUCCAUUGUGGAUGAUUUUUCUAGAGGGACUUGGACAUAUCUUUUAUCCACAAAAUCUAAUGCAUUCUCUGUUCUGAAAUUUUUCCUAGCCUUUGUGGAGAGACAAUUCUCCACUAAAGUCAAAAUCAUUUGGUCUGAUAAUGCUUAUGAGUUGGGUACAGGCACUAUGCAAUCUGAAUAUUUUUUAUCAAAAGGGAUUAUUCACCAAACUUCUUGUGUAGCUACGCCACAACAAAAUGGGGUGGUGGAACGCAAACAUAAACAUCUUUUGGAAACAUGUCGAGCCUUAUUCUACCAAUCUCACCUUCCUAAGAAAUUUUGGGGGGAAUGUCUUCUAACUGCUACUUAUCUAAUUAAUCGUUUCCCUUCUAAAGUUUUACAUGGUCAGUCAUCUUAUCAGGUUUUAUAUGACAAAUCUCCAGCCUAUUCUCAUUUUAAGCCCUUUGGUUGCCUUUGUUUUGUGUCCACUCUAGCGAGAUCUAGGGAUAAAUUGUCUCCUCGAGCUCUUCCAGGGGUUUUCUUAGGCUAUCCUUUUGGGAAAAAAGGGUACAAAAUUCUGCAUUUGCAGACCAACAAAGUCUUUGUCUCUCGAAAUGUGAAAUUUUGUGAAACAAUCUUUCCUUUUGCUUAUGCUAUUCCUAUGUCAAGACUCUUUCCAGCAUCUAUUCCUCCUUCUGAAAAUGUCGAGUCCAGUCCUAUUUACUCACAGACUACUGAGUUUUCCAGUUCACCUUCAUCUCCUCCUAGUUCAUCUCCUACAAAUGAUUCUAUUCAUCCUUCAUCUCCUUUCCAGCCUAGUCAGUCAUCUCCUUCUUCAUCCCUUUCUUCUCCAUCUUCUUCUACUUCCUUUCCCAUCCAAGAAACUACAUCACCAAGGGUUAUGUUAUCUCCAACAGCUGAACUGAGAAGGUCUUCACGCAUACACACUACACCAUCUUAUCUUUCUGAUUAUGUUUGUAACACUGCAUUUUCAGUGAUUUCUCCUAAUCCGCCUUUAUUUCCAUUUCAUUCAUUUUCUUUCUCCUCCCUUUCUUCACACAACCAGCACAUAGUUAGCUCUAUUUGUCAAAUUACAGAACCAACAUCUUACCGGCAAGUAGCACUUCACCCUGGUUGGAAAAUUGCAAUGUCUAAAGAACUUGAGGCACUUGAGAGUAAUCGCACUUGGGAUGUCGUCCAUCUUCCUGUUGGUAAAUUGGCAUUGCCGUGCAAAUGGGUUUAUAAAGUCAAGCUGAAAUCAGAUGGAUCAUUAGAACGCUUGAAGGCACGUUUGGUUAUACGAGGGGAUAAACAACGGGAAGGCAUUGACUAUACCGAAACGUUCUCACUUGUUGUCAAAAUGACAACUAUCAGAUGCCUUCUUAGCAUUGCUGUAAAAAAGAACUGGUCUUUAUAUCAACUGGACGUUAACAACGCUUUUCUUCACGGUGAUCUGAGUGAAGAAGUCUUUAUGAAAUUUCCUCCUGGUCUUGAUCCUCCUUCAUCCUCUCAUGUUUGUCGCCUUCGCAAAUCUCUUUAUGGACUCAAGCAUGCUUCCCAUUAAUGGUAUGCUCGUCUUUCUUCUGCUUUGGGUACACGAGGCUUUAUUUGCUCUCUCAAUGAUUAUUCCCUCUUUGUUAAAACUUCUGGCGACUUGAUUACCAUCCUAGUUGUAUAUGUUGACGACAUCCUGUUGACAGGAAAUAACAUGGAAGAUAUUACUGAUCUGAAAUUGUUUCUUGAUUCUGAAUUUCGAAUCAAAAACUUGGGCAUUGCUAAUUAUUUUUUGGGUAUGGAGAUUUUAACAGAACCUGGAGGAUUACUUUUGACGCAACGCAAGUUUGCACUUGAUUUACUAUCUGAGUAUCCUGAUCUCGAGCCUCGCCGUGUCUCAACCCCUUUGGAUCCCUCAAUUAAAUUGUCUUUGAUUUCUGGAGAGUCUUUGCCGAAUCCAACAGUUUAUCGACGUCUUCUAGGGAAACUCAAUUUUUUAACACAUACAAGACCCGAUUUGGCUUAUGUUGUUCAACAUCUUAGUCAAUAUAUGCAAUCACCCUGCUCUGGCCAUUUUGAGGCAGCCUUGCAUACACUCCGCUAUAUUCGAAAUGAUCCUGGUCUUGGGCUUUUCCUUUCAUCUGAUUCGUCUUUUCAUCUCAUCGCCUAUUGUGACGCCGAUUGGGCGGCUUGUUCAGAUAGCCGAAGAUCUGUUAGUGAUUUUUUUCUUACACUUGGUGGUUGCCCGAUCUCAUGGAAAUCAAAGAAACAACCUGUUAUUUCUUUAUCAUCGGCGGAGGCAGAAUACCGUUCCAUGCGACGACUUGUCGCAGAAAUUUCUUGGCUUGUCAGGCUUCUCUCCGAUUUUUCUAUCUUUCCAUCUCUUCCAAUUUCUCUUCACUGUGAUAGUCAGGCAGCCAUCCACAUAGCUAAAAAUCCUGUCUUUCAUGAACGAACGAAACACAUUGAGAUUGAUUGUCAUUUUGUUCGUGAAAAACUUCUUGAUGGUCUCAUUUCUCUGUCUUUUGUUCCAUCCUCCUCCCAAAUUGCUGAUGUCUUCACAAAGGCUUUAGCAGGACCUCUUCAUCGUCAUUUUUUGUCCAAGUUGGGCGUCUGGUCACCGGUCUCCCACUUGCGGAAGGGUGUCGCCGGAGCAAUAUUAUUAUUAGAGGAAGAAAUGAAGA